rnacentral:rRNA from 1 species
ACGAACGCUGGCGGCGCGCCUAACACAUGCAAGUCGAACGAGCGAGAGAGAGCUUGCUUUCUCGAGCGAGUGGCGAACGGGUGAGUAACGCGUGAGGAACCUGCCUCAAAGAGGGGGACAACAGUUGGAAACGACUGCUAAUACCGCAUAAGCCCACAGGUCGGCAUCGACCAGAGGGAAAAGGAGCAAUCCGCUUUGAGAUGGCCUCGCGUCCGAUUAGCUAGUUGGUGAGGUAAUGGCCCACCAAGGCGACGAUCGGUAGCCGGACUGAGAGGUUGAACGGCCACAUUGGGACUGAGACACGGCCCAGACUCCUACGGGAGGCAGCAGUGGGGAAUAUUGCACAAUGGGGGAAACCCUGAUGCAGCGACGCCGCGUGGAGGAAGAAGGUCUUCGGAUUGUAAACUCCUGUUGUUGAGGAAGAUAAUGACGGUACUCAACAAGGAAGUGACGGCUAACUACGUGCCAGCAGCCGCGGUAAAACGUAGGUCACAAGCGUUGUCCGGAAUUACUGGGUGUAAAGGGAGCGCAGGCGGGAAGACAAGUUGGAAGUGAAAUCUAUGGGCUCAACCCAUAAACUGCUUUCAAAACUGUUUUUCUUGAGUAGUGCAGAGGUAGGCGGAAUUCCCGGUGUAGCGGUGGAAUGCGUAGAUAUCGGGAGGAACACCAGUGGCGAAGGCGGCCUACUGGGCACCAACUGACGCUGAGGCUCGAAAGUGUGGGUAGCAAACAGGAUUAGAUACCCUGGUAGUCCACACCGUAAACGAUGAUUACUAGGUGUUGGAGGAUUGACCCCUUCAGUGCCGCAGUUAACACAAUAAGUAAUCCACCUGGGGAGUACGACCGCAAGGUUGAAACUCAAAGGAAUUGACGGGGGCCCGCACAAGCAGUGGAGUAUGUGGUUUAAUUCGACGCAACGCGAAGAACCUUACCAAGUCUUGACAUCCCUUGACGAACAUAGAAAUAUGUUUUCUCUUCGGAGCAAGGAGACAGGUGGUGCAUGGUUGUCGUCAGCUCGUGUCGUGAGAUGUUGGGUUAAGUCCCGCAACGAGCGCAACCCCUAUCUUCAGUAGCCAGCAGGUUAAGCUGGGCACUCUGGAGAGACUGCCAGGGAUAACCUGGAGGAAGGUGGGGAUGACGUCAAAUCAUCAUGCCCCUUAUGACCAGGGCUACACACGUGCUACAAUGGACAGAGCAGAGGGAAGCGAAGCCGCGAGGUGGAGCGAAACCCAUAAAACUGUUCUCAGUUCGGACUGCAGUCUGCAACUCGACUGCACGAAGAUGGAAUCGCUAGUAAUCGCGAAUCAGCAUGUCGCGGUGAAUACGUUCUCGGGCCUUGUACACACCGCCCGUCACACCAUGAGAGUUGGGGAUACCCGAAGCCUGUGAGCCAACAGUUUACUGAGGCAGCAGUCGAAGGUAGAAUCAAUGAUUGGGGUG